rnacentral:rRNA from 1 species
CGAACGCGAAAGUCCCCUUCGGGGGAAAGUAGAGUGGCGCACGGGUGAGUAACACGUAGGUAAUCUACCUUCGGGUGGGGAAUAACAACCGGAAACGGUUGCUAAUACCGCAUAAUGCAGCGGCACCUAAUGGUGACAGUUGUUAAAGCGGGGGAUCGCAAGACCUCGCGCCUGAAGAGGAGCCUGCGGCGGAUUAGCUAGUUGGUAGGGUAACGGCCUACCAAGGCUACGAUCCGUAGCCGGCCUGAGAGGGCGGUCGGCCACACUGACACUGACAUACGGGUCAGACUCCUACGGGAGGCAGCAGUCGGGAAUUUUGGGCAAUGGGCGAAAGCCUGACCCAGCAACGCCGCGUGAAGGAUGAAAUCCUUCGGGAUGUAAACUUCGCAAGAACGGGGAGAAUAAGCUGGUGUUAACAUCACCGGCGAUGACGGUACCGUUUGUAAGCUCCGGCUAACUCCGUGCCAGCAGCCGCGGUAAUACGGGGGGAGCAAGCGUUGUUCGGAUUUACUGGGCGUAAAGGGCGCGUAGGCGGCCACCGCAAGUCAAUUGUGAAAUCUCCGGGCUUAACUCGGAAAGGUCAACUGAUACUGCGGGGCUAGAGUGCGGAAGGGGCAACUGGAAUUCUCGGUGUAGCGGUGAAAUGCGUAGAUAUCGAGAGGAACACCUGCGGCGAAGGCGGGUUGCUGGGCCGACACUGACGCUGAGGCGCGAAAGCUAGGGGAGCGAACGGGAUUAGAUACCCCGGUAGUCCUAGCCUUAAACGAUGAAUGCUUGGUGUCUGGGGUUAUAAAGUCCCCGGGUGCCGUCGCUAACGCUUUAAGCAUUCCGCCUGGGGAGUACGGUCGCAAGACUGA